rnacentral:rRNA from 1 species
GUAGGUGGCUAGCGUUGUCCGGAAUUAUUGGGCGUAAAGCGCGCGCAGGCGGUCCUUUAAGUCUGAUGUGAAAGCCCACGGCUCAACCGUGGAGGGUCAUUGGAAACUGGGGGACUUGAGUACAGAAGAGGAAAGCGGAAUUCCAAGUGUAGCGGUGAAAUGCGUAGAGAUUUGGAGGAACACCAGUGGCGAAGGCGGCUUUCUGGUCUGUAACUGACGCUGAGGCGCGAAAGCGUGGGGAGCAAACAGGGAUUAGAUACCCUGGUAGUCCACGCCGUAAACGAUGAGUGCUAAGUGUUAGGGGGUUUCCCGCCCCUUAGUGCUGCAGCUAACGCAUUAAGCACUCCGCCUGGGGAUACGGCCGCAAGGCUG